rnacentral:rRNA from 1 species
UACGUAGGGUGCGAGCGUUAAUCGGAAUUACUGGGCGUAAAGCGUGCGUAGGCGGUUCGUUAAGUUCGUUGUGAAAGCCCCGGGCUCAACCUGGGAAUGGCAAUGGAAACUGGCGGGCUGGAGUAUGGCAGAGGGGGGUGGAAUUCCGCGUGUAGCAGUGAAAUGCGUAGAGGUGCGGAGGAACACCGAUGGCGAAGGCAGCCCCCUGGGCCAAUACUGACGCUCAGGCACGAAAGCGUGGGGAGCAAACAGG